AUUUGGAGGAUGGUGACGAGGACUUGGUGCAGGAGCAACUACAUUCUGUUAGUGAUAUGAAAGGGAAGCAAGUGGUUGAAGAUUGUAACUCUGAAGAUGAGAAAUUAGAAGCUCCGGAAUCGGAUGAGGAUGAGAUGAAGUUCAAUUUCAAAUCUUUUACAGUCGAAGAUAUGCAUGAUUCAAAGUUCCAUGUGGGGCAACUAUUCUCAUCAGUUGAUUUGCUAAGAAGAGCAAUCAGAGAGUAUAGUGUGAAAGAGAGAGUGAGCAUCACAUUUCCCAAGAAUGAUAAAACUAGGAUUGGUGCUAAGUGUGAGGAUGGAUGUCCAUGGUAUCUUUAUGCCUCAUUGGACAAAAGGACAAAUUCAGUUAUGGUGAAAACCUUCAACGGUGUGCAUCAUUGUAGCAAGAAGUGGCAAGUGAGGGCAUUUACUGCCAAGUACAUUGCUAACAAGUAUGUGGAGAAAAUAAGAGCUAAUGAGAAGAUAACCUUGAAGGGAUUGGCAGCACUUGUGCAAGAAGACUGUAACAUGACAAUUAAAAGGGGGAAACUAGGGAGGGCCAGAGGACUAGCUUUUAAUAUUAUAUAUGGUGAUGAAAUAGCACAGUACAACAAGUUGUGGGACUAUGCAAAUGAGCUAAGGAGAUCCAAUCCAGGAAGUACAUUUUAUUUAGACCUUGAUGAAGAUGGUAAGUUUGAGAAAUGCUACUUUUCCUUUGAUGCUUGCAAGAGGGGCUUCCUAUCAGCUUGUAGGCCUAUUCUUUUCCUCGAUGGUUGUCAUUUGAAGACACAAUACGGAGGCAUCCUACUUAGUGCAGUAGGAAUGGAUCCCAACGAUUGCAUAAUUCCUAUUGCACAUGCGGUGGUUCAAAGAGAAGAUACAAAGGCUUGGAGGUGGUUCUUGACAGCUUUAAAGAAAGAUCUUGGUAUUGUGAGAAGUGCUCUUUGGACUAUCAUGUCCGACAAGCAAAAAGUGAGUGUGCCUUUGCUAUAUUUCAAAUUUCUCAUAUCGUACAAGGGCUAUUUGUAAAUAUUUAUUAAUGCUUGCUUUAUGAAUUUACUUAUGGCAGGGUCUAAUAAAGGCAGUGGGAGAAUUGUUCAAUGGUUCCCCACAUAGAUUUUGUGUCAGACAUCUUUGGCAGAAUUUCAACAAAAAUUUUAAAGGUGAGGCCCUCAAAAACCAACUCUGGAAAUGUGCUAGAAGUAGUACUGAAGGGAAAUUUAGACAGAAUAUGAAUGAAAUGUUGGUUCUAAACAAAGAGGCACAUGAUUGGCUAGAGGAGUUGGACCCUCCAACAUGGGUUAGGGCAUUUCAAAAUGAAUUUCCUAAGUGUGAUGUCUUGUUGAACAAUAACUGUGAGGUGUUUAACAAGUACAUAUUGGAUGCAAGAGAAAUGCCCAUAAUCAGCAUGUGCCAAAGGAUUAAAGGACAGUUGAUGGGAAGAAAUCAUAGCAAGCUACAAGAGGCCUUGAAGUGGCCUGGUACUAUAUGUCCAAAAAUAAGGAAGAAAUUGGACAAAAAUGUGGAAUUUGCUAGAACUUGCUAUGCUUCACCAGCUGGAUUGGGAAUCUUUAAUGUGAACGAUAGAGGCGUAGACUACGGGGUUGAUUACCAGUUGAGGAAGUGCAGCUGUAGGAGAUGGGAUUUGUCUGGCAUUCCAUGCAGCCAUGGAGUAGCUGCUCUUAGAUAUGACAACAUCAAUCCAGAGGAUUACGUCAACUCAUGCUAUUCUAUCGCAACAUAUUGCAAGGCAUAUGAAAACAUUAUUAUGCCAUGCAAAGAUAUUAGUGAGUGGAGUAAAAUGAAUGGCAGAACUAUCACACCACCACCAUUGGUAAAGCAGAAAGGAAGAAGGAGGAAGAACAGGAGAAAACAACCAGAAGAGAAACAGGGGGAAAAAGGAGUAAAAAUUACAAGGGCAGGAGCAAUAAUCCAUUGCGGUUAUUGUGGAGUUGCUGGCCAUAACAUUGGUGGGUGCAUGGACUUCAAGUUAGGGUUAAAACCAAAGAAAAAGUCUGUAAGGGUUAGAGUCAGGGCAGAGCCUGAUGUUUCCUCCUCAGAUGAGGAAGAAGCAACUGUAACCCAGGUGAGGCCCUAUAUCUAGCUGCAUGGACUUCAUUAUUUUAUUAGUUAUUUCUUUCAACAUGUGAAAAUUCUCCUAUUUUUACUGUUUGCAGGAACAGAAUCAGCGGACAGAAGGUUUAAUUCAAGAGCCACUAUGUGUGUAUCAGCCUAAGAUAAUUACUAUUUUAACACAAGAGGUACUUACAAUAAUUUGUUUUCAUUACACAUAACUAGUUCAUGUACAAAUGUUUCAUGUCUGAUCCUAAAUUUGUGUUCUAUAUCAGAGAGAAGCAAGCCAGAGGGAAGCAAGCCAGAGGGAAGCAGUUCGUCAAGGUCCAUUACCAAAUUCCGUUUUCAUAGAGGAGCACAUCAUGUCUCAGCCACCGGUUGUCCCUACUACUGCAACGAAGGAGGGCAACGUUCACAGGAAAAGAGAGAUUCUAGCACUGGCAAAGUUAAGAGCUGCAGCUGAGAAAAGAGAAGUUGCAGACCAAGCAAAGUUUGAAGCAGCUAUGGCAAAGUUGAAAGAAGAAGAGGACAAAAUUAAGCUUGCGGCUCAAAAGAGAAAGGAAGAGUUGGAAGCUAAGAAACAAGCAGCUGAGGAAAAGAAAAAAGCUAUACUAGAGGAGAAGAGACUUGCUGCAGAAGAAAAGAGAAGAGCUAUUGAGGAAAAAAAGAGAAAGGCCCAAGAGGAGAAACUUCAAAUGGCAGAGAAGAAAAGGCAAAUGAUGGAUGAGAGAAAAAGAAAUGCCGAGUUAGCAAAGGAAAAAAAGGCCGAAGAGAAGAGAAGGAUUGCACAGGAGAAAAAAAUGCUUGCAAAUACAUCACACCAGCAGGAGGAGGCAGCUUUUCUAAUACAUCAAGCAGAGGAGUUUGAGAGGCAGGAGGGUUGGAGAAUUUUUAAAGAGGCUAAGGAAGCUGCUAGGCAAAAAGCUUGGGAGCAGCAGAAUAAUCAGCAAGGCGCAGCAAGGAAUGAAGAAUGGGAGCUGCGAAAGAGGAGAGCUGAAGAAACAAACAAGAAAGCCAUGGAGGACCAAAUGGUCGAUCAAGCAAUGAAGCAUGUCAUGCUGGAGGAACAAUUGCAAGAACGAGCUGCAACAACUAGUUCAAGAGUUGAGGAGGCAAGGUUUAAUCCAUGCCCAGUUGAAGGAAACAAGACAAAGAAAAAAAUCUGCACCUACCAAUCAGAACAUGACAUGUUUUAAGAAACCUAGAAAGGUUAACAUGUUCGAUGAAUUUAGGUGAAGGGAUGUCAAGUUGGAAAUGAUAUUCAUAUCUUUUUGUGUUUCUGCUUAUGAUCAGGUGCAGAACUUGUAGUGGCAAUGUUUUGCUUAUGAUCAUUGUGCUGAUCAUGAAGUGCAAGAGGUGUCUUUUCAUUAGGAAACUACUAUUGCAGACCUUAAUUACUCAGAUUUUGAACUUAAGUACUAUUUAUUUUCAUUCAACAAAUGCUCUAUAUUUUAAAUAAUGCACUGUUUAUUUUCAUGUGUCAUUAGCAAUUGGUCUUCAUGUGCCAUUAUGAGUUGAGAAAGUGUUGUUCAUUUUCAGCACUAUUAUUCAAGUUGUAUGCAAACCAAAAUGCAACCAACACUGUUGAUUUUGUUUCAGAAUUUACAUUCAGCCAAAGAACUAUUCAUUUUCAGGUGCAAUUUUGUAUUGAUUCACUACAUAGCAACAAGAUACACAAGUACAUGCUCUUGAUGAACAUAGAAACAGGACACACAGUUGAUGAACUUGUCAUCAAGCAUCACGGCGACAAUGGGUUCGAGUGAGGUCCUCCCCUUCUCCUGACAUGAACCAAAACAGGAUAAAUCAACGUCUUUUUGGUCCUCGGCGACAAUGGACCGUCCGCACUCCAGCAUCUCAAGCUCUCCGUACGAAUGCACUUGUCCAGUCAACAAGCAACCUGGAUGCUGACCUCUGACGGCAGGACGCCGCAAUUAUCUCCAUGGCCGCCAAAAGCGGAAGGGCGUCACAGCCGUCGGGAGCAGCACGUGACCGCGAUAGCGAGCGUCCAGCUCAUCCAUGGAAGCCGUCCGCUGGAGGAGAACCUGGCAAGUCUCCGGUCGAAGACAAGGCUGUCCAUGGCGCCAGACCUUCUUCAGUAACCACGGCCGGCGACGGGCGGUGGAGCCAUGGCCAGCGACGGGCAGGGCAGCGGCCACGCCUGAGACCGACGGGGGAGAGAAGACGAGGCUGCCUCCCUUGCCUGAGACCAAGCUCACGGCCACGCUUGCGCCACCCAUGGCUGCCAGCAGUACGUACUGCGGCGGGGAUUUAGUCGAAGGAGUGUGGUCGGCGGCAGGGAUUUGGUUUAGCGCCCGCUAGCUGCUGGGAGUGUGGCGAGAGGUAGGGAUUUGAGAGCGAAUUGGGGAUUUCUGCCCACCGGUGACUAGUCAACUAACUAGUGGGCCCUACAAACGGACGACGUGGCCGACCCAAUACGCCUCUGUACAAUGAUUUCGUAUGCUGCACGUACGCCAGGACCGCAGGACCAAAAUGGAGGACCGUAUUGGCACUGUAUAGACGAGUAUUAGGACUGUAAUGAUGCAGUUACAGAGUUUGAGGACCGUUUUGGUCCUAACCAGCAAGUUUAGGGUGCACUGAUGCAUUUUACUCCGCUCUGCCUCCUCCUCGAUGCGUGAUGGCCUGGAUGACGACAAUGCAGCAUGAGGGAGGAGGCGGAGGAGAUGCGUCAUCGAUGUGAGGGAAGGGGCUUGUGCCUAGCUCUUCUCCCCUUUCCUUCGGGUCUCAGUUUGCUCUCCUCACUUGUUCUUCCUGCUGUUCUGGUUCGUGUCCAGCAAGUGUUGGGGUUAUUUGCUUCUAGAAUCGGAGCAGCGGGUUAUGAUGGCUCUGUUGUGCCAUGACACUGGUUAAUGCUAUUUCUUUUGCCGUCCUUCCACGAGUUUUGAUCUGGGUUUGCAUGCAGGUCACUUGUUCUCGCGUCACUAUGAUGGAUCUGUUGCUGAGACUCGAUCUGUAGGUAUGUGUAUUUUUUCCUAGUUCUUGGUCAUCGCCUGCUGCUUGUCCGUGAUUUUUUGUUUGAUUUUGUUGCGGAUUCGUUAGCUGCUCGUUCGAUAUGUGCCUUCGCCUCGUGUCCCUGCUGCUGCUUUGUUCACUGAUAUGUAGGUUGAUCCCUCUUCCCCUCCUCCCCUCUAUUUGCCUUCUCCGUUAGGCCUAGGUUCUUGUUCUUACAAUGGUGAGCCACUGCUCAUGGUCAUGUGCAAAUUGGCCAAUGAGUGCCUUUUGUUCUUGUUUUAUUCCUAACUAGAUUAUCGGUGGCGCGUUGCUGGACCCAUCUAUUUUGACAAUAAAUGAUAGGUGUUUAUGUAUUAUACAAAAACAAGCAACAUGAAAGUUAAAUUUUCAUAAACUUGCAUAUAUUGGUUAGGCUGGUCAUAGUGGGAGUAGCAUAGGUAGUAACAUAGAUGCCACAUAAGCAAAAUUGGUGAUGUGGCAAGUAGUUAAUGAGGAGAGAGGCAAAUAGAGUAACAUAAUAUGUUACCAUCACAUAGCGGUUUCCAAUGCAUAAUGAGUCUACAAAGUAAUAAAUAAAGGCAACUAUGUUACCACACCUAUGACACUACCCACUAUGAAGGUAAUAACAUAGACUAGUAACAUAUGUAUGUUACUAGUCUAAGUUACUCUCCACUAUGACCAGCCUUAGUAACAUAGGAGGUUAAGUUUGACUAUUUUUCAUAUAUACAUAUGGUGUAUCAUAUAAACUACAGGGAACUACUAAUUGCAGUUUCUUGCUUGGUAAUAUAAGAAAUUUCACUGCUUUGCAGACGGAUGUCGAUCCAGCCGAAGAUUUGUCUGAAAUAUAUGAAAAAUAGUACACUUGAAUAAUGAUUAACAAAUGUUGUUGCAGACAGCCAGAAAAUUAAUACUAUUUGGUAAUCAAAUUUAUAACGCGUAAUUUACGGGACGGCAUGCUCUAAGUUAAAAUUGGCUAGCAGUAGGAAAUUGUACCUUAACUCAAAGGUAAAUAUUAUUUAGGACAAGUAAACUGAACCAAAUUCCACCCCUCCUUUUCACAGAAUCAUCAAGCACUCCAUGCUUUGGUGCUUAGAAAAUGAUAAUUGUGCCUACAGUUCUAAUUCUAAACAUGUCAACACAACAUUCAAUUGAUGGAAAACCAAAUCAUUGUCUAUAUUAUUCACAUAUAAUACAGUACAAAAUGUAGAUGAUAUUGUUAAAGCAUUGUCUAUCCUUUCACGUGACACGUUAUUCCAAUAUAUAUAAUAUAUAUCAUACUAUGAAACAGGGAGUGAACGGUCUUGUCCAUUAAAAACGAUUACUUUUGUCUUGGAAGAGGACAAGAACAUAGAUUAGUGUUUUUUUUGGCUUGUUGGUGCUUACUUCCAAGUCCAAUAAGGCACUGUAAGAAAUGUACAAGUAGCUAACAAAACAAAAAAAUAUCUCACCAAAACCAUUGAUGGAUAACUCAGGACAAACAAUUCAAUUUGAAAGGGCACGUCUAGCUAAACAGGUAAGAAAAUAUAAAUUUCAUAAUGCAUAAUCUUGAUGCACAAUAUUACAUUGUUAGGGAGAGAACUAUCAUGUUACAUCGUUGUGAGCUUUAGAAAAGAAGGAACGGUGAAGAUCCCCACAAACUUGACAUCUCAACACUUCAAAGGAAAAGAAGACACCCAAUACAGUGUCACAAAACCAAGGUAAGUCAGUUUUUGGAUAGAAAAAUAAAUAAAACCUAAAUAAUAAUUUGAUUCUAAAUUAAAGCUUACCAUGAUCUUAGUCAAGAACAUCAAGUUGAUACAACAGCUACUUACAAACAGGGCAGGACUCAUCCUCUAACUUUAUUGUGGAUGAAAUAAAUGCUCGUUGAUAGUACUGUCAUCAAUCUCCUGAAGGUCCCUUUUUGCCAUCUUUGAGCUUUCUGUCCCCAUAUUCUGUAUAGCUUUAAACUGAUUGUUUUUACAUACAAAUUAUGACAACUCAUUUCGCCUAAUAAACAGAUCAAACCAAGUUAUAACUGAAUUUGUAAUCGUGAAGAAACAUGAAGAAUUAGGGGGGCGGGUGUCAGCUUGACAUGAACAUGGAGUUGAAUUAGAUGCCCGAUGCAACAGAUCAACCUAAAAAGGCUUUGAGAAUCAAUCUGUAGUAUUGACCUUGCACUGUACAUGACCUUGCACAUGUUUUGGAUAUCAUAAAGCAAAAAAAUACAUACAUACAUGUACAUGAUCGUCGAUCUCCUCCUCGUCCUCCUGAUUUCUCCUCCUCACACACCUAGGGCAAAAUAUGAAUGAUGCAGGGCCGAAGUGUGUAUGCUCUAUGUUGUCUUGGACAGCAGCGUGCCUGAGACACUGAUUUAAUCAGCCUGCAGCCGGCAAGCAAGCUGACGAGCUGCCCUGAGCGGAGUUGCCCGAGGUAAGAUCGUGCAAGGUCGUUGUUCUUCGAGGACGAGAUUGGGGGAGACCUAACAAUAAGGACAAUAUAUUGCAACUGGCUAGCCUCCGCUUUUUCCCACUUUCUGAAUUCCGAUCCUCUGCUCCUCAUCCUCUCAUCUCCUCUUCCACCAACAUGGACACCAGAUCGAGUAAGUGGAUUGAUAGAGGCAAAGGUGUCCCGUCUUUCGAUGAGAUGGUGGAUUUCGCUUUGGUGGAAGUCGACUUUGACGAUCCGACUACGAACGUGCGAGGACGUCGCGCCUUAGCAAUCGCUAAACCAACUCCGAGAGGUUAUUGACCACGCCGGAGCACGAUCAACCUGACCACGAGGGUCUGUUUCCUGCGAGCAAACGAAGAACAAGCAAGAAACUAAGAUUGCAAUCUGGAUAUUGCGAAUAUAAGAUGAAAGCUUUAUUGAUCAAGGUGGGGUUCUGUGACGCCUUUGUCUGGUCGUUGAACGCAAACGAAGUACGCGAAGUUGCAGCUAUGGCGAACUUUUAAUCUAAACAAAACCCAAAGUCUAAACGAUGCCCUAAGGGCUGUAUAUAUGGAGGAAGAGGGGGGUAAUUUCGUGGCCCUUGGUGGAGGAGUCCGAAAUCAACCCUAUCUCUUGUUUCCCCACACAUACGGACUCUAAAAAUAGCCUAUACUUAUGUGUUUCGAAAUUACAUGGGCCUGGCCCAAUAAUAAGGUGACGCAGCACCUAAAAUAGCCUCGGGACGAGAUUUAUGAAGUGGCAUCUUGUAUAUUUCGUCCAAGGCUUCAUGCACCCAUUAUGGUGGCUUCAAAGUCCUGAAAUCAUCACUUGUAACUCCGUUCUUGUUCCCCUUGCGCAUGCCAUCAUCUCCAUGCUUGUUCUUGCUCCAAUGUUCAUCCUUCUCCAAGCUAGGCCCUUCAUUUGUAAGCAAAACAAAUGUAUCCAAUUUAGGCAGCAUCAUAUUCUCAUGAACAUUAGAAUCAUUACCAAGAAACGAAAGUACCUGGUAAUUUAGUUGGCGUGCACGAGCUCUAGUAAUUGGUCCAGUAUGUAUAGCAGCAGGGGCUAUGGGUGUAACAAUUGUAUUGAUGUCCUCAUCAUCCUCCCCUUCUUGAAAUGAAGUCGUCCUCGAUGGAAGUUCAUCUUCCUCACCCAAAUAAGGCUUCAAAUCUGCAAUGUUAAAAGUGGGACUAACCCCAAAAUCUGCAGGCAGCUCAAGUUUAUAUGCAUUAUCAUUUAUUUUCUCUAACACCUUAAAGGGACCAUCUGCACGUGGCAUUAGCUUUGAUUUGCGCAAAUCAGGAAAUCUAUCCUUACGCAAAUGUAACCAAACAAGAUCUCUAGGUGCAAACACAACAUGUUUUCUACCCUUAUCUCCAGCAAGUUUAUAUUUAGCAUUCAUACGCUCAAUGUUUUCCUUAGUUAACUCAUGCAUUUUUAAAAUCAAUUCAGCACGUUGUUUAGCAUCAAAAUUAACCUUCUCCGAAGAUGGAAGAGGCAACAAAUCAAUAGGUGCACGAGGUAGGAAACCAUACACAACUUCAAAAGGGCACAUCUUAGUAGUAGAAUGCAAUGAACGAUUAUAAGCAAAUUCAAUAUGAGGCAAGCAUUCCUCCCACAUUUUCUUAUUAUUCUUCAAAACAGCCCUAAGCAUAGUAGACAACGUUCUAUUGACUACUUCAGUUUGUCCAUCAGAUUGGGGGUGACAAGUAGUACUAAAAAGCAGUUUAGUCCCCAACUUAGCCCAUAAACAUCUCCAAAAGUGGCUAAGAAAUUUAGUAUCACGAUCUGAAACAAUAGUAUUUGGCACACCAUGCAAGCGAAUAAUUUCACGAAAGAACAAAUCAGCAACAUUAACAGCAUCAUCGCUUUUAUGACAUGGUAUAAAGUGUGCCAUUUUCGAGAAUCUAUCCACGACAACAAAAAUGCUAUCCCUCCCCUUCUUUGUUCGAGGUAAACCUAAAACAAAGUCCAUAGAUAUAUCCUCCCAAGGAACACUAGGUACAGGCAAAGGCAUAUAUAAACCAUGAGGAUUGAGUCGUGACUUAGCUUUUUGACAUGUAGUGCAGCGAGCAAUAAAACGCUCAACAUCCCGUCUCAUCUUUGGCCAAAAGAAAUGUGUAGCAAGUACGUCCUCCGUCUUCUUCACGCCAAAGUGUCCCAUUAAUCCUCCUCCAUGCGCCUCCUGCAACAACAAAAGACGAACGGAGCUAGCUGGAAUGCAUAGCUUGUUAGCACGAAACACAAAUCCAUCGUUAACAACAAACUUGUUCCAGAUUCUUCCUUCUUUACAAUUCUGCAUUACAUCUUUAAAAUCAGCAUCAUGCACAUAUUGAUCUUUGAUGGUCUCCAAACCAAAUAUUUUGAAGUCAAGUUGUGAAAGCAUAGUAUAGCGACGAGACAAUGCAUCAGCAAUAACAUUUUCUUUUCCCUUCUUGUGUUUAAUGACAUAAGGGAAAGUCUCAAUGAAUUCAACCCAUUUAGCAUGUCUACGAUUCAGUUUAGCUUGACUUUUAAUAUGUUUCAAAGAUUCAUGAUCAGAAUGUAUAACAAAUUCUUUGGGCCAUAAAUAAUGUUGCCAUGUUUUUAAAGUCCGAACAAGAGCAUAUAAUUCUUUAUCAUAAGUAGAAUAAUUCAGACUAGGCCCACUCAAUUUUUCAGAAAAGUAUGCAACAGGUUUGCCAUCUUGUAAUAACACACCUCCUAAUCCAAUUCCACUAGCAUCACAUUCAAGCUCAAAAGUCUUAUUAAAAUCAGGAAGUUGGAGUAAAGGAGCAUGUGUCAACUUAUCUUUCAAUACCGUGAAGGCUUCUUCCUGUGCGGUACCCCAAACAAAAGGCACAUCCUUCUUUGUAAGCUCAUUGAGAGGUGCAGCAAUGGUGCUGAAAUCUCUCACAAAACGCCUAUAGAAUCCAGCGAGGCCAAGAAAACUCCUCACUUGUGUGACCGUUUUGGGCUGCGGCCAACUCUCAAUAGCUUCAAUCUUGGCUUUAUCAACUUCAAUUCCCUGUGGAGUAACAACAUAGCCAAGAAAAGAUACUCGAUCGGUGCAAAAGGUGCACUUCCCAAGGUUGCCUCAAACGUGGAAUAGGAUAUAAUCUACAAUGUUCAGACCACCAUACACAUGCAAAACUAGUGAAAGCACAAACAGCAGCAGCAACUCGUCUCUCCUCAGGAUAUUGUAAACAUGUAAAUCGUUGUUCAGUUUCUAACUCCCAAGUAAGAUAUAUAUCAGGAACAUAUCUACCCUCAAAUGGUGGAAUAUUCAAUUUCAGUUUAGGAAUAUGGACAUCAUCGCGUACCUGAGGUGGUGGUGCAGGCCUACCAAUCGUUGAAGGCUUUUUGUUUGGUAACCUUGGGAAGUGCACCUUUUGCACCGAUCGAGUAUCUUUUCUUGGCUAUGUUGUUACUCCACAGGGAAUUGAAGUUGAUAAAGCCAAGAUUGAAGCUAUUGAGAGUUGGCCGCAGCCCAAAACGGUCACACAAGUGAGGAGUUUUCUUGGCCUCGCUGGAUUCUAUAGGCGUUUUGUGAGAGAUUUCAGCACCAUUGCUGCACCUCUCAAUGAGCUUACAAAGAAGGAUGUGCCUUUUGUUUGGGGUACCGCACAGGAAGAAGCCUUCACGGUAUUGAAAGAUAAGUUGACACAUGCUCCUUUACUCCAACUUCCUGAUUUUAAUAAGACUUUUGAGCUUGAAUGUGAUGCUAGUGGAAUUGGAUUAGGAGGUGUGUUAUUACAAGAUGGCAAACCUGUUGCAUACUUUUCUGAAAAAUUGAGUGGGCCUAGUCUGAAUUAUUCUACUUAUGAUAAAGAAUUAUAUGCUCUUGUUCGGACUUUAGAAACAUGGCAACAUUAUUUAUGGCCCAAAGAAUUUGUUAUACAUUCUGAUCAUGAAUCUUUGAAACAUAUUAAAAGUCAAGCUAAACUAAAUCGUAGACAUGCUAAAUGGGUUGAAUUCAUUGAGACUUUCCCUUAUGUCAUUAAACACAAGAAGGGAAAAGAAAAUAUUAUUGCUGAUGCAUUGUCUCGUCGCUAUACUAUGCUUUCACAACUUGACUUCAAAAUAUUUGGUUUGGAGACCAUCAAAGAUCAAUAUGUGCAUGAUGCUGAUUUUAAAGAUGUAAUGCAGAAUUGUAAAGAAGGAAGAAUGUGGAACAAGUUUGUCGUUAACGAUGGAUUUGUGUUUCGUGCUAACAAGCUAUGCAUUCCAGCUAGCUCCGUUCGUCUUUUGUUGUUGCAGGAAGCGCAUGGAGGAGGAUUAAUGGGACAUUUUGGCGUGAAGAAGACGGAGGACGUACUUGCUACACAUUUCUUUUGGCCAAAGAUGAGACGGGAUGUUGAGCGUUUUAUUGCUCGAUGCACUACAUGUCAAAAAGCUAAGUCAUGACUCAAUCCUCAUGGUUUAUAUAUGCCUUUGCCUGUACCUAGUGUUCCUUGGGAGGAUAUAUCUAUGGACUUUGUUUUAGGUUUACCUCGAACAAAGAAGGGGAGGGAUAGCAUUUUUGUUGUCGUGGAUAGAUUCUCGAAAAUGGCACACUUUAUACCAUGUCAUAAAAGCGAUGAUGCUGUUAAUGUUGCUGAUUUGUUCUUUCGUGAAAUUAUUCGCUUGCAUGGUGUGCCAAAUACUAUUGUUUCAGAUCGUGAUACUAAAUUUCUUAGCCACUUUUGGAGAUGUUUAUGGGCUAAGUUGGGGACUAAACUGCUUUUUAGUACUACUUGUCACCCCCAAACUGAUGGACAAACUGAAGUAGUCAAUAGAACGUUGUCUACUAUGUUUAGGGCUGUUUUGAAGAAUAAUAAGAAAAUGUGGGAGGAAUGCUUGCCUCAUAUUGAAUUUGCUUAUAAUCGUUCAUUGCAUUCUACUACUAAGAUGUGCCCUUUUGAAGUUGUGUAUGGUUUCCUACCUCGUGCACCUAUUGAUUUGUUGCCUCUUCCAUCUUCGGAGAAGGUUAAUUUUGAUGCUAAACAACGUGCUGAAUUGAUUUUAAAAAUGCAUGAGUUAACUAAGGAAAACAUUGAGCGCAUGAAUGCUAAAUAUAAACUUGCUGGAGAUAAGGGUAGAAAACAUGUUGUGUUUGCACCUGGAGAUCUUGUUUGGUUACAUUUGCGUAAGGAUAGAUUUCCUGAUUUGCGUAAAUCAAAGUUAAUGCCACGUGCUGAUGGUCCCUUUAAGGUGUUAGAGAAAAUAAAUGAUAAUGCAUAUAAACUUGAGCUGCUUGCAGAUUUUGGGGUUAGUCCCACUUUUAACAUUGCAGAUUUGAAGCCUUAUUUGGGUGAGGAAGAUGAACUUCCGUCGAGGACGACUUGAUUUCAAGAAGGGGAGGAUGAUGAGGACAUCAAUACAAUUGUUACACCCACAGCCCCUGCUGCUAUACAUACUGGACCAAUUACUAGAGCUCGUGCACGCCAACUAAAUUACCAGGUACUUUCGUUUCUUGGUAAUGAUUCUAAUGUUCAUGAGAAUAUGAUGCUACCUAAAUUGGAUACAUUUGUUUUGCUUACAAAUGAAGGGCCUAGCUUGGAGAAGGAUGAACAUUGGAGCAAGAACAAGCAUGGAGAUGAUGGCAUGCGCAAGGGGAACAAGAACGGAGUUACAAGUGAUGAUUUCAGGACUUUGAAGCCACCAUAAUGGGUGCAUGAAGCCUUGGACGAAAUAUACAAGAUGCCACUUCAUAAAUUUCGUCCCGAGGCUAUUUUAGGUGCUGCGUCACCUUAUUUUUGGGCCAAGCCCAUGUAAUUUCGAAAUACAUAAGUAUAGGCUAUUUUUAGAGUCCGUAUGUGUGGGGAAACAAGAGAUAGGGUUGAUUUCGGACCCCUCCACCAAGGGCCACGAAAUUCCCCCCUCUUCCUCCAUAUAUACAGCCCUUAGGGCAUCGUUUAGACUUUGGGUUUUGUUUAGAUUAAAAGUUCGCCAUAGCUGCAACUUCGCGUACUUCGUUUGUGUUCAACGACCAGACAAAGGCGUCACAGAACCCCACCUUGAUCAAUAAAGCUUUCAUCUUAUAUUCGCAAUAUCCAGAUUGCAAUCUUAGUUUCUUGCUUGUUCUUCGUUUGCUCGCAGGAAACAGACCCUCGUGGUCAGGUUGAUCGUGCUCCGGCGUGGUCAAUAACCUCUCGGAGUUGGUUUAGCGAUUGCUAAGGCGCGACGUCCUCGCACGUUCGUAGUCGGAUCGUCAAAGUCGACUUCCACCAAAGCGAAAUCCACCAUCUCAUCGAAAGACGGGACACCUUUGCCUCUAUCAGCCUCUUUGCACACAAAAGCAUAGCAAACAGAUUUGCUGAAAUCUAGCUCAUCAAUAUCAGAUUUGGUGGCAAAUAAACAUGCACUUUUCAAUUUAAUUUCUGAAGCAACACUAGAUGGUUUAUUAUUAGGCUUCAUUUGUUGCUCAAAUUCUUUUGCCACAAUCUGAUUUUCACUCUUAUUCGUCUCCUGUUUUGCUUUAUUAGCUCUAUUAGUAUCAUCUUUCAAAAUGGAAUCAGGAGUCAUAGGAAGCAAAGUAAUAUUUUUAUCCUUAUGAACAAGAGUAUAGUGAUUGUUUCUACCAUGGUGUACAGAAUUUUUAUCAAAUUGCCAUGGUCUACCAAGUAAUAAGGAACAUGCUUGCAUAGGUACCACAUCACAAUCAACAUAAUCAGCAUAUGUAGAGAUACUAAAAUGCACACGAACAGUACGUGUUACCUUAACCUUGCCGCUGUUGUUGAACCAUUGGAUGUAGUAAGGAUGUGGAUGUGGUCUUGUGGUGAGAGAAAGCUUCUCCACCAUCUCCAUGCUAGCCAAGUUGUUGCAGCUCCCUCCGUCUAUUAUGACGCGCACAGAACGUUCCUUCACAACUCCCUUGGUAUGGAACAAAUUGUGCCUCUGAUUUUGCUCAGCUUGUGUGACCUGCACACUCAAAACACGUUGAGCAACUAAACAUUCAUACCCGUCAGCGUCUUCAGGAGCCAUGUAUUGCGUCUCAUGAUCAGAAUCAUCUCCACCAUGUUCUUCACGUGUAAUAAGGGCCAAUGUCUCCUCAUCAUAGUCACUAGCGGACUCAUAUCCACCAUCCGCGGUAGCAAUCAUCACACGCGGAGAUUUGCAUUCCCUCGCAUAAUGACCUCCUCCCUUACAACGACGACAAAUAAUAUCACUUGUGUGCCCUGUUGAUGCCAUGGAAGAAGAAGAAUGCUGUGCAGGCCCCGCAGGUGCGCUCUUGGCAGAUAAUGGUGGUUGUGCCUGUUUUCUUGUAUCACGGCUGGAGGUGGCACCGGAUGGAGGUGCUGGUGCAGUUGAAGUAGAAGAUGCACGUGGUGUCCAUGAUGAAGGUCGGCCUGCAGAAAAGUUAGUUCGCCCCAAUGCUUGUCGAUCCUGCACUUCACGUUCAGCUUUACAAGCAAGAUGGAAUAAACGAGUGAUAUUAGUAUACUCCUUAUAGUCUAGAAUGGUCUGAAUCUCUCUAUUUAAUCCAACCAGAAAACGUGCAAGCAUAGCUUCAUUCUCCUCAACAAUACCACAUCUAAUCAUGCCAGUUUGUAAUUCCUGAUAAUAUUCUUCUACAGAAUUUUUCCCUUGUCUUAAACGCUGCAAUUUUUGAAGCAAUUCACGUUGAUAAUAUGGUGGAACCCAACGUGUACGCAUAGCAGUUUUCAAAGCAGCCCAAGUAGUUGGAAUAGGAUAUAAUCUACAAUGUUCAGACCACCAUACGCAUGCAAAACUAGUGAAAGCACAAACAGCAGCAGCAACUCGUCUCUCCUCAGGAUAUUGUAAACAUGUAAAUCGUUGUUCAGUUUCUAACUCCCAAGUAAGAUAUAUAUCAGGAACAUAUCUACCCUCAAAUGGUGGAAUAUUCAAUUUCAGUUUAGGAAUAUGGACAUCAUCGCGUACCUGAGGUGGUGGUGCAGGCCUACCAUUACGAAUAUAUACCUGAGGUCGACCUGUUGGUGGUGGUACAGGUGGCUGCACGUAGUGUUGAUUUUGAUCAACCUCAUCCUCAUAAUCUCCCACAUAAUCAUCCUCCUCCGCAUCAGCAGCAGGAGCCACAGAAGUAUCAACAGCAGCACCAACAGUUUGGCCAAACGCAAGAGGAACACGGCUUGCUCGGCGGAGGUCUGCUUCGCGACGUGGAGGUAGUCGUUGUUGUUGUUGUUGGAGAGGUGCGUUAGGUGCAGCGGUUGGUGGUGGUGGAAGACGCGCGAGCAAUUCAUUAAACUUGUUAUCGAGCUUUGUUUCGAACGUCUUCUCAAGGCCAGUGAUCUUCUCCAUGGCCUCUUCAAAAUUGUUCAGCACAUCUUGCACCUGUUCAGUCAUCAUUUGCUGAAACUUAUCAUGAAGCUCCUUGUUCGAUAAAUUCUCCCAGUCAAUCUCGUCGGCUUGUGAUCCUGGCAUGGUUAGCAGCAAUAGAAACACACAAGAAUAUGAUCCUACAGACUACGAACAAGUGGUGGUGGUGGGUGUCACAAAUCCGUCAAGCAAAUCUCAAAUUCUUACCAGUUCUUACCCAGCAGCAGGCGGUGAUCGGCAACCGUUGUAGUCAAAAACUCUCAAAGCUUGGAUAGAGCGAUUACCAGGGAGAUUCAAACGCACGACGUAGAUGUAUGUGGAGCUGGGAAGGCUUAUAAUAUGGUAGCAAAAAGGGUCAGCAAUAAUCAAUUCAGAGAUGCAAAGUUGAAUAAACGCUCAACGACGGUACUGUGCUGGUCCUAGGCUAGACUGUGCUAGAGACGCGAGCCUAGAACACUAACAAAAUCACGGCGAGGCACGUAAACAAGGGAAAAGCACACUCUGGAUUUUUUUUCGCUCUUUUUUUCUUUCUUUUUUGCGCUCUUUUUUUUUGCGCUGCUUUUUUUUGCGAAAAAUCACUAUAAUGGCGAGUGUCUCAAAACUCUUCUUAGCUCAAACUGACAGGAUGGGCAAGAAAUUUUUUCGACCAAUUUUUUUUUUGACUGCCCGGACCCAAAAACUGGAAACGGGUCAAAAAAAACUUCCUAUAUUGGCACCUAUCUCAAAACACUCAGAAACACCUAAAAAUAGGAUAGCCAGAUUUUUUUUCGAAAAAUGCGUUUUCGAAAAUUUUUGGGCCUAAACGGAGCGUGGCUACCCGACUCUUUUUUUUUCCGAAACCUACUCCGGCAAGGAAACACGAAUCAGAAACUAGAUGGAUCUCGAAAACAACCCUAAUAAGCAAGGAACUCGGAUUGGUGGUGGAUAUAUGGUGGUGGUAUAUGGCAGCGGUGGUGGUAGCGGUGGUAGUAUAUGGAUAUGGAUCGGUGGUGGUAUAUGGACACGGAUUGGUGGUGGUAUAUGGAUACGGAUUCGGAGCGGUGGCGGAUAAGCGGUGGUGGUAGAUGGCAGGGGCGAUGAUGAUGGUGCGGCGGCGGCGUGACAACUUAUGACCAGAACUCGAAACUCUAAAAGACUAGACUCUAAGACCAGCAACUAGACACGACGAUGCAACCGCAAAUUCAACAAAGCAAAACCCUAAAAAGAUUAUGCAAAGGCUCAGAUUGGUUCGGAUAUGAUGAACUAACCCUAAUUUUUUUUGUGGCUUUUUCGUGGACUAUAGGUAUGAAGAACAGACUCGAUCUAAACUACGAAAAACUGUAAAAUCUCACCGAGCAACCUGGAAAUCUGAUACCACUUGAUAGAGGCUAAGGUGUCCCGUCUUUCGAUGAGAUGAUGGAUAUCGCUUUGGUGGCAGUCGACUUUGACGAUCCGAUUACAAACGUGCGAGGACGUCGCGCCUUAGCAAUCGCUAAACCAACUCCGAGAGGUUAUUGACCACGCCGGAGCACGAUCAACCUGACCACGAGGGUCUGUUUCCUGCGAGCAAACGAAGAACAAGCAAGAAACUGAGAUUGCAAUCUGGAUAUUGCGAAUAUAAGAUGAAAGCUUUAUUGAUCAAGGUGGGGUUCUGUGACGCCUUUGUCUGGUCGUUGAACACAAACGAAGUACGCGAAGUUGCAGCUAUGGCGAACUUUUAAUCUAAACAAAACCCAAAGUCUAAAUGAUGCCCUAAGGGCUGUAUAUAUGGAGGAAGAGGGGGGAAUUUCGUGGCCCUUGGUGGAGGGGUCCGAAAUCAACCCUAUCUCUUGUUUCCCCACACACACGGACUCUAAAAAUAGCCUAUACUUAUGUAGUUCGAAAUUACAUGGGCCUGGCCCAAUAAUAAGGUGACGCAGCACCUAAAAUAGCCUCGGGACGAAAUUUAUGAAGUGGCAUCUUGUAUAUUUCGUCCAAGGCUUCAUGCACCCAUUAUGGUGGCUUCAAAGUCCUGAAAUCAUCACUUGUAACUCCGUUCUUGUUCCCCUUGCGCAUGCCAUCAUCUCCAUGCUUGUUCUUGCUCCAAUGUUCAUCCUUCUCCAAGCUAGGCCCUUCAUUUGUAAGCAAAACAAAUGUAUCCAAUUUAGGCAGCAUCAUAUUCUCAUGAACAUUAGAAUCAUUACCAAGAAACGAAAGUACCUGGUAAUUUAGUUGGCGUGCACGAGCUCUAGUAAUUGGUCCAGUAUGUAUAGCAGCAGGGGCUGUGGGUGUAACAAUUGUAUUGAUGUCCUCAUCAUCCUCCCCUUCUUGAAAUGAAGUCGUCCUCGACGGAAGUUCAUCUUCCUCACCCAAAUAAGGCUUCAAAUCUGCAAUGUUAAAAGUGGGACUAACCCCAAAAUAUGCAGGCAGCUCAAGUUUAUAUGCAUUAUCAUUUAUUUUCUCUAACACCUUAAAGGGACCAGCAGCACGUGGCAUUAACUUUGAUUUGCGCAAAUCAGGAAAUCUAUCCUUACGCAAAUGUAACCAAACAAGAUCUCCAGGUGCAAACACAACAUGUUUUCUACCCUUAUCUCCAGCAAGUUUAUAUUUAGCAUUCAUGCGCUCAAUGUUUUCCUUAGUUAACUCAUGCAUUUUUAAAAUCAAUUCAGCACGUUGUUUAGCAUCAAAAUGAACCUUCUCCGAAGAUGGAAGAGGCAACAAAUCAAUAGGUGCACGAGGUAGGAAACCAUACACAACUUCAAAAGGGCACAUCUUAGUAGUAGAAUGCAAUGAACGAUUAUAAGCAAAUUCAAUAUGAGGCAAGCAUUCCUCCCACAUUUUCUUAUUAUUCUUCAAAACAGCCCUAAGCAUAGUAGACAACGUUCUAUUGACUACUUCAGUUUGUCCAUCAGUUUGGGGGUGACAAGUAGUACUAAAAAGCAGUUUAGUCCCCAACUUAGCCCAUAAACAUCUCCAAAAGUGGCUAAGAAAUUUAGUAUCACGAUCUGAAACAAUAGUAUUUGGCACACCAUGCAAGCGAAUAAUUUCACGAAAGAACAAAUCAGCAACAUUAACAGCAUCAUCGCUUUUAUGACAUGGUAUAAAGUGUGCCAUUUUCGAGAAUCUAUCCACGACAACAAAAAUGCUAUCCCUCCCCUUCUUUGUUCGAGGUAAACCUAAAACAAAGUCCAUAGAUAUAUCCUCCCAAGGAACACUAGGUACAGGCAAAGGCAUAUAUAAACCAUGAGGAUUGAGUCGUGACUUAGCUUUUUGACAUGUAGUGCAGCGAGCAAUAAAACGCUCAACAUCCCGUCUCAUCUUUGGCCAAAAGAAAUGUGUAGCAAGUACGUCCUCCGUCUUCUUCACGCCAAAGUGUCCCAUUAAUCCUCCUCCAUGCGCCUCCUGCAACAACAAAAGACGAACGGAGCUAGCUGGAAUGCAUAGCUUGUUAGCACGAAACACAAAUCCAUCGUUAACAACAAACUUGUUCCACAUUCUUCCUUGAUAGAGGCAAAGGUGUCCCGUCUUUCGAUGAGAUGGUGGAUUUCGCUUUGGUGGAAGUCGACUUUGACGAUCCGACUACGAACGUGCGAGGACGUCGCGCCUUAGCAAUCGCUAAACCAACUCCGAGAGGUUAUUGACCACGCCGGAGCACGAUCAACCUGACCACGAGGGUCUGUUUCCUGCGAGCAAACGAAGAACAAGCAAGAAACUAAGAUUGCAAUCUGGAUAUUGCGAAUAUAAGAUGAAAGCUUUAUUGAUCAAGGUGGGGUUCUGUGACGCCUUUGUCUGGUCGUUGAACGCAAACGAAGUACGCGAAGUUGCAGCUAUGGCGAACUUUUAAUCUAAACAAAACCCAAAGUCUAAACGAUGCCCUAAGGGCUGUAUAUAUGGAGGAAGAGGGGGGUAAUUUCGUGGCCCUUGGUGGAGGAGUCCGAAAUCAACCCUAUCUCUUGUUUCCCCACACAUACGGACUCUAAAAAUAGCCUAUACUUAUGUGUUUCGAAAUUACAUGGGCCUGGCCCAAUAAUAAGGUGACGCAGCACCUAAAAUAGCCUCGGGACGAGAUUUAUGAAGUGGCAUCUUGUAUAUUUCGUCCAAGGCUUCAUGCACCCAUUAUGGUGGCUUCAAAGUCCUGAAAUCAUCACUUGUAACUCCGUUCUUGUUCCCCUUGCGCAUGCCAUCAUCUCCAUGCUUGUUCUUGCUCCAAUGUUCAUCCUUCUCCAAGCUAGGCCCUUCAUUUGUAAGCAAAACAAAUGUAUCCAAUUUAGGCAGCAUCAUAUUCUCAUGAACAUUAGAAUCAUUACCAAGAAACGAAAGUACCUGGUAAUUUAGUUGGCGUGCACGAGCUCUAGUAAUUGGUCCAGUAUGUAUAGCAGCAGGGGCUAUGGGUGUAACAAUUGUAUUGAUGUCCUCAUCAUCCUCCCCUUCUUGAAAUGAAGUCGUCCUCGACGGAAGUCCAUCUUCCUCACCCAAAUAAGGCUUCAAAUCUGCAAUGUUAAAAGUGGGACUAACCCCAAAAUCUGCAGGCAGCUCAAGUUUAUAUGCAUUAUCAUUUAUUUUCUCUAACACCUUAAAGGGACCAUCAGCACGUGGCAUUAGCUUUGAUUUGCGCAAAUCAGGAAAUCUAUCCUUACGCAAAUGUAACCAAACAAGAUCUCCAGGUGCAAACACAACAUGUUUUCUACCCUUAUCUCCAUCAAGUUUAUAUUUAGCAUUAAUACGCUCAAUGUUUUCCUUAGUUAACUCAUGCAUUUUUAAAAUCAAUUCAGCACGUUGUUUAGCAUCAAAAUUAACCUUCUCCGAAGAUGGAAGAGGCAACAAAUCAAUAGGUGCACGAGGUAGGAAACCAUACACAACUUCAAAAGGGCACAUCUUAGUAGUAGAAUGCAAUGAACGAUUAUAAGCAAAUUCAAUAUGAGGCAAGCAUUCCUCCCACAUUUUCUUAUUAUUCUUCAAAACAGCCCUAAGCAUAGUAGACAACGUUCUAUUGACUACUUCAGUUUGUCCAUCAGUUUGGGGGUGACAAGUAGUACUAAAAAGCAGUUUAGUCCCCAACUUAGCCCAUAAACAUCUCCAAAAGUGGCUAAGAAAUUUAGUAUCACGAUCUGAAACAAUAGUAUUUGGCACACCAUGCAAGCGAAUAAUUUCACGAAAGAACAAAUCAGCAACAUUAACAGCAUCAUCGCUUUUAUGACAUCGAUCAGAAUAGCGCCCCUCGACGACAUUCAGCCCACUUAGCACGAGACAUUGUGGUAACAGAUAUCAAACGGCCAGGAUUGGCUAGAUCAUAAAAACGGAUGUCUCCCGAUGCCAAUAGCCCGAGGGGGCUGGAAGGGAGUUUUAAUAUCUUUAAAUAUACAGGGUUGCUAAUUUAGAACCUUUAUGCCUACUAAUAGAUGCUAGGACUAUUAUUCCCUUGGUGUGUUGGAUUUUAGUAAUUCCUACCCUUCCUUGCUUGUUAUUAGUGGAGUACUCCCACCGUCACAUAAUAUAAAAGCGUUUUUUUACACUAGUGUAGUAUCAAAAACGCUCUUAUAUUAUGGGAUGGAGGGAGUAUAUGUUUAUGCUUUUUCUUCUUUGUCUUGAUCUGGGUAGGGCCUAGGGCUGUUAUUCCUUUGUGCAUGGACCUUGAUGUUUUUGUUCUUUUCCUUGCUUUAUUUUUUGUUUCUUUCACUGGUGGGAAAUGGCUAGCCACAACUUAUGUUGGUGCACGUCAUUUUUCAUCAACGCGGCUUCGGCUUAUUUCGUACGUCAUCACUAUGAGCUUAGUGUUGGCGUAGGAAUUCUACAGAAUGCCACUUGUGUGUGAGGCCCAUUGAUACUGAGCAUCCCACAAUCAUCCCCAUGGAUGUAUCUACAUCUUCCACAACACCACUUGGACCAAUGACAAGAGCUCGAGCAAAAGCUAUCGAAGAUAAGGUGAACUCGCUCCUCUCCGAACUCCCAUUUUCUACACCUGAGACAUGGCUACUACCUCAAGCGGAAACACUAUGUGUCAUCAGGUACUUGGAGGAAGGCCACGGAGCAGCUACAUCCAAUGGUCAAGACGGCGAGGACACCGAGUACGAAGGACAAGAAGAAGAGCUACUGAAGAAGCUCCAGCGAGCGGACGUUCGCCCAGGACCGGACGUCCGGCACCUGACGCUCUAGCCAGCGGAUGCCCGACCAGGAUGGGACGUCCGACGUCUGAAGGCCCAUCCGAGCCAAGUCCCAGCCUACGAAAGCUACAGCGAGCGGACGCCCGCCCAGGACCGGACGUCCGGCGACACUUCCCAGUGAGCGGAUGUCCGACGACACUUCCCAGCAAGCAGACGUCUGACCCCCACUAGGCGACCGGCAAUUCCACACCCGAAGCAUUUCAGUGGAAAUCUGACGCCUCCAGACGACCGGCGACCGGACGACCGAUAGUCUCCGGACGUCCAGUACCACUGUUACAGAAUGAAAUUAGCGGAAGUCCGAGCCCUGUCGGAUGUCCGAACCUUCGCAAGCGACUGGACGACCGGUAGAGACCGGUCGUCCGCUGCUUGCUUGUGCGCAACUUCGGGCCCGAGGCCCAUGUACCCUUUCAUUCUGUCCCCUUUUGCACUUAGACUAUAAAUAGACCUCCUCCUUCUCCUCCUAGUCAGGGUUAGCAAAGGAUUAGCUCAUAUUUGUGUGAGAGCUUUGCUCAUCCACUUGGUUACUUCUCCAUUGGAGUUCACGAUCUUUUUGGAGAAGAUCCCCCAGGCGGAUUCAAGACCCCAUCACGGGAAGACCCUUCAAGACCUCCUCAUGAAGAAGACCUUUUGUAUCGUCCCUUGUUGACUUUGAAUGGUGUAUCACCCUUUGUGUUUCGAGGAUCUAGCAUAUGUGUGACCAAAUCUUGUUGGUUGAGUGAUUUCUCUCGUGUUUCCCCUCGUGAUCUCUCCUCGUGUUCUUCGUAGGAUCCUCUCCAAUCGUGAAAGAUCGGGCAUCUAGGGUUCUACCCUACAUCAUCUUGGUAUUAGAGCUACGUUGAUCAUGUAUUUGGAGGCCCCACCCUUUUGUUUUCUAGCUUGAUUUUGUUGUGUUCUUCCCCAAUUUCGAGAAUCCCCACCAAAAAACAACCCCAAUUUUUUUUGUGAUUUGUUGGUGUGAUGAAGUUUUGUUGGAUUUGAUCCAUGGAUUUGCUUUGCCACGAGUGGAUCUAGCUUUCCCCCACCAUCUCCACCAUUUCAAAUCACAAAAUCACUCGGAUUUGACCAAAUUCGCCACCUCCACCACGAACCCUAGUUGUUCAUCCCGUGCCUGAAAUCGCCCAGGCACCGGACGUCCGUUAGCCACCGGACGUCCGACGAUCGGACGACCGCUCCCCGACCGGACGUCCGUUGAUCCCUGAUGAAACUAAAAAAAAUUAGUUCAGCCACCACCACCUUUCCACCUUCCACCAUCGCAUACACACUCCGAUUACACCACCGCUUUUCGCACGCACCACCAUCGCUUACCUGCUAUCAACUCUAACAAUUUUGCCAUGUUUUGGUAUUUGGGAAUUUGAGUUGUGGUUCCCGUGUCCUAUUGUGCUUUGGCUAUAUAGGAACGGUGCAACAUCAACAUCACCACCGCUCAUCUUCGCCAAGGACUCGUCAUCGCGAACAACCAUCCUUGCUUACAAACGACUACCUCGACGGUAACCUCGAUGACACCUUUGUCUAUUCCUUGCCAUUGCAUUGAUAACCACCAUAGCCCAAUUUUGCAUUGCUUUCCCAUCGAGACUAGCCUUUGAGUAUUGCCGGCAACGUGACUUGUGCAUAUUAGUAAUCAUACUUCCCAUAGCACACAUACCAUAUCAUCGUGGUGCAUAUCUUGGUAUCAUCUCUUGUGUCACAAAGUUGUCAUCGCAUACACAAUUGCUAUCUUGGUUCGUGAAGUUUUGCAUGAGGAAAGAGCUCAAAAGUGAAAGAGCCAAACAAGUUUUUAAGCAAGAGGGGAAGAUAAGCAAAGAGCUUAUAAGCAAGAACCAUAGCAUCAUACUACAUUAAGAUUGUCAUACUCGAUCAUCUUGGAUCAUAUCACCAAAAUAUCAUACAUAUAACAUACUUGGGAUAGUCGUUGCAUUUUUGCCUAGUAGGUUGUGCACAAGUUUCGUAUCUGCCUAUUGUGCAAUCGUGCUAGCGUCUCUCUAGUGUUGUGCAACAAGAGCAUUUUCAUGGAUUCCACAUUUUGGCUCAUUACUUGGUUGCACGCCCCCAUCUAUCUAUUCGCGUGUGUGUUCCCGUGUACCAUAUCUUGCUAUUGCUCUACUUGUCGCAUUUGCAAAUUUGUGAAUCUUUUCCAACAUUAUUGAGGCUCACUAACAAUUGCAUCAAAUUUUGUGCCACCAUCCUAACUGAGCUCCACCAUAAGCUUUUACUUGUGUAGGUGUGAGAACCGACAAGAAUUGGUACCAAUUGUGCUAUUUCCUUGUUCCACAUUUGAGUGAUCAUUGAUCCAUCUUCAACAUCGGUCAAGGUACAUUUGGUAUAAGUUCUUCUCUUUCUCCCACUCACAUAUUUGCUUGGAAUGAUGGAUAGGCCAAGUUCUUGUACCAACUCAUUCUUCAUCGAGCAAGACGAUGACAUGUCAUCCUAUGUCACCAAGAGCCACCUCCUCGGUGCACAAAGAGCUUUGCAUCAAGAACAACAAGCAAUGAGCGACAACAUCGACAAUCUCACCACCGACUUGCGACUCUCCGAGCAACGAACAAGAGACUACUUCGACAACAAGCUCGACGCACACAAACAAGAGAACGAUACAAGAAUGGACAAGAUUCGUGCCUUGUUGGUAAACCGCCCUUCUACCACUUCGUCCUACUCAAUACGGAGCCGCUCGAGUCGAUACUUCGACAACACCCUCUCCGGAUCAAGUACACCGACAUCGAACACUCUACGUCGAGCCACGCGCCAAGACCGUCAAGCAACUCGCAAUCCUCUACACGACAUUCAUCCACAAGAGCAAUUCGAUGAGCAAGCACAUCGUCAUCGCCAACAGCAAGCUACUCUUGCACAAGCACAAGAACGGCAACGUCAACGUCACCAAGAGGAAGAGCGAGCGCCCCAACACCAAGAUGAACAAGAUGCCGAGGCUCAAUGUCUUCAACAACAACAACGUGAAGCACAAGCACUUGAGGCGCAAUGUGCCCUUUGAGAGUCAAGUCGACCAUCGUCAACCGCAACCGAGACAUGCGCAAUCAAGAGGAAGCACUUCGCGAAGAAAUUCAAGAGUGAAACUACAAAGCAAGAGUGCAUCGUCAAGUUCCUCAAGCUCCUCCACAACCUCAAGUUCACCAAGAGCAUGAUGACUAUGGAAAUCCUCCAUGCCAAGAGAAAUAUGAGGUUGACAAUCAUCUGCGUCAAGGGCGUCAUCAUCACCCACGACCCCAACAUAAUGAAGAGCAACACUACGGCAAGCUCAAGUUCACUGUGCCCAAGUUCAAUGGAAGCAAUGAUCCUAAAGAGUACCUUUCCUGGGCAUUGAAGGUCGACAAGAUCUUUCGCUUGCACAACUAUGAGGAAGAGAAGAAGAACACUAUCGCAUCCCUUGAGUUCCAAGACUAUGUGCUCAUAUGGUGGGAACAAGUCCUUGAGCGUCGAGAAGCAAGAGGUGGACCACAAAUCACCACAUGGGAUGAAAUGAAAGAUGUCAUGCGAGCAUGCUUUGUGCCAACAUACUACAACCGUGACCUCUUCAAGAAACUCCAACUCCUCAAGCAAGGGACAACGAGCAUUGAAGAAUACUACAAGGAAAUGGAGAUUGCCAUGGUAAGAGCCAAUGUCACGGAAGAUGAUGAGCAAAUUAUGGCUCGUUUCUUGAAUGGCCUCAAUCAUCCCAUCAAGAAGAUUGCCGACUUCCAACUCUACUCCAGCCUCAUUGAGCUCGUGCAUCAAGCUACCAAAGCAGAAUGUCAAGUGCAAGAUGACUUCAAGUAUGCCAAGUACUCUUCCAAGAUCUAUGGCUUCUCCAACAACCAAGCUUCAAUGACUCCAACACCUGCUACCUCAGCCAAGCCAUCUACAAGCAACGCCGACAAGUCAAGUUACAAGAAAACUUUGACAACCUCAAGUCAUCCUCCUACUACAAGCAACUUCAAGCCGCGAGCUUCAUCAUCUACUCCAACCGAUGAGACCAUCAAGACAAGUUCCAUCAAGUGUUUCACAUGCGGCCGCCGAGGCCAAAAGUCCUUUGAGUGUACCAACAAGCGCACCAUGAUCCUCAACGACGAUGGAACCUAUGACUCCAUGAGUGAGGAGGAAAUGGAAGCCCUUGAGCAAGUGGCCAUGCACCCGCGCGUGAACGAAGAUGAAGAUGAUCAAGUCUUUUGUGAUGAGCAUUCGAGCACCGCUCUCGUUGUCUCCAAGGUCUUGACUCUUCAACAUCAACAAGACGAAUACCAAAGAUGCCACAUCUUCCACACCAAGGCUGGCAUCAAUGGAAGGUCCGUCAAGGUCAUCAUCAAUGUAGGGAGUUGUCAUAACUUGGCAAGUGAAGAACUAUGUUCCAAACUCCAAUUGGUCAAGAUGAAGCACCCGCACCCCUAUAAGGUUCAAUGGCUAAGUGAUUCCGGCACUAUCCAAGUCGAGCAUGCGGUGCAACUUUCUUUCAAGAUAGGAGCAUAUGAAGACACUUGGAGUGUGAUGUCGUUCCUAUGUCCGUUUGCCACCUCCUGCUUGGUUGCCCAUGGCAAUUUGACCGAGGCUCAUCCACAACGGGCGUACCAAUCACUAUAGCUUCAAGAUGAAAGGAAAGGAGUACGUGCUACAACCUAUGUCUCCAAGUCAAGUGAUCGCCGACAAGCAAGCCACCCAUCGUGGAGAAAAGAGUGAGAGAGUGACCCACCCAAAAGACAGUGAGAGCCACAAGCCAAAAUCGAGUGCCUCCAUGAUGAGCGACAAGAAGAACUUAGUUCUAUUUGCCACCAAAGGUGAGAUGAGAGAAGUGUGUGAGAACCCAUCAAGUGUUAUGCACUAUGUCCUUUUGUGCAAGGAUGAGGCACCAAAAACUAACACCUCUCACGAUCUACCUUUAGUGUUAUCUUCUCUUUUACAGGAAUUCCAAGACAUUUUCCCCGAUGAGCUACCUCCAGGACUACCACCACUACGAGGCACCGAACAUCGAAUCGACCUUGUUCCCGGAGCACCUCUACCUAACAAGGCUCCAUACCGCGUCAACCCCGAGGAAACUAAGGAGAUCCAACGGCAAGUACAACAACUCAUCGACAACGGUCAUGUACGUGAAAGCUUGAGCCCUUGUGUCGUCCCGGUAAUCCUUGUUCCUAAGAAAGAUGGCAUUUAUCGCAUGUGUUCUGAUUGCCAUCCCAUCAAUGCUAUCAGCAUUAGAUAUCGUUACCCUAUUCCACGCUUAGAUGAUAUGCUUGAUGAGCUUAGCGGAGCCACCAUCUUCUCUAAGAUUGAUCUUAAGAGUGGCUAUUAUCAAAUAGGCAUCCAAGAAGGUGAUGAAUGGAAAACCGCAUUUAAGGCCAAAUUUGGCUUAUAUGAAUGGCUUGUUAUGCCAAUGGGUUUAUCCGAAGCACCCAGUACUUUCAUGCAAGUCAUGCAUUUUGUUCUUCGACCCUAUAUUGGUGUAUUUGUUGUGGUCUAUUUUGAUGAUAUUCUUGUCUUUAGCAAAUCCCUCAAAGAUAAUGUCACCCAUCUUAGAACCGUGUUGCAAACCCUUAGGAAAGAGCGCCUUUAUGCUAAUGUGGACAAAUGCCUUUUUGGUGUUGAUAAGCUUGUUUUCUUGGUUUUGUUGUGUCUUCUAAGGGUGUUCAUGUAGAUGAAUCUAAGAUCAAUGCUAUUCAAACUUGGCCCCAACCAACCAACUUGCAACAAGUGUGUAGUUUUCUUGGUUUAGCCGGUUUCUAUCGUAGAUUUGUGAAGGAUUUUAGCACCAUUGCUUCACCAUUGCAUUCUUUGAGUAAGAAAAAUGCGCCUUUUGUUUUGGGACCAUCCCAAGAUACCGCUUUUAAUGAGCUAAAGAAUUUGCUUACUCAUGCUCCCGUGCUUGCAUUACCCAACUUUGACAAACCUUUUGAAAUUCAUUGUGAUGCUAGUGGUAACGGCAUAGGAGGUGUGUUAACGCAAGAGAAGCGCCCCAUAGCAUACUUUAGCGAGAAACUUUCUGGAGUGCAACUCAAUUAUCCCAUCUAUGACAAAGAGCUAUAUGAUUUAGUGCGAGUUUUGCGUGUAUGGGAACAUUAUCUUUGCCCUCAUGAAUUUAUCAUCCAUACCGAUCAUGAAACGCUCAAGUACUGAAAGCAUAAGUGCUCCCUGGGUGAUUUUGGUAAUUAAUGUCAACAUAUCUCUUGUUGGACUAACACUUUUACCUAGUAUGUUUCAGACAAGUUCAACAAUGGAGUGGCAUGGGCUAGAGGAUGUGGAACCCCUUCAAAAAGCUAAGGACAAAAGGAUUGGCUCAAGCUCAAAGCUCAAGACUCUACAUUUUCUAUUUUAGUGAUCCAAGAUCACAUUGAGUCUAUAGGAAAAGCCAAUACUAUCAAGAGGGGAUGAGGUGUUGCUUAAUGGCUUGCUUGCUCAAAGUGCUUAGUGAUAUGCUCCAAAGCCCCCAACUACUUUCUCACAUCCACAUAUGCCCUAAACCAAAAAGUCUAACUCGACCCUACUGAUUAUUUCUAUCCGGCGCCAUCGAGUUCAGAUGUCUUAGCCAUUGCCACAAACCCUAGGCAAAUCGGUCUCACCGAUAGGGAUCUCGGUCUCACCAAAAUGGGAUUGUAAUCUCUCUGUGUAUGUCCAUUACCAAAAUCGGUCUCAUCGAGUUUGAGAAAUCGGUACUACCGAGAUUACAAUGCAAACUCUCUGGUUAACUUAUUACCAAAAUCGGUCCCACUGAGUUUGUGUAAUCGGUCCUACCGAGUUUGCCUGACCAACUCUCUGGUUAGCUUAUUACCAAAAUCGGUCCUACCGAGUUUGUGUAAUCGGUCUCACCGAGAUUACGUUAUGCCCUAACCCUAACCAUAUCGGUUUUACCGAGUUGCAUGUCGGUCCCACCGAAAAUCCUAACGGUCACUAGAUUUGCUGAAUCGGUCCGACCGAGUUUCUCAAUUUGGUCCCACCGAGUUUGGCAAGUUGUGUGUAACGGUUAGAUUUUAUGUGGAGGCUAUAUAUACCCCUCCACCCACUCUUCAUUCGUGGAGAGAGCCAUCAGAACGAACCUACACUUCCAACUUACAUUUUCUGAGAGAGAACCACCUGCACCUGUGUUGAGACCAAGAUAUUCCAUUCCUACCAUACGAAUCUUGAUCUCUAGCCUCCCCCAAGUUGCUUUCCACUCAAAUCUUCUUUCCACCAAAUCCAAAUCCUGUGAGAGAGAGUUGAGUGUUGGGGAGACUAUCAUUUGAAGCACAACAACAAGGAGUUCAUCAUCAACACACCAUUUGUUACUUCUUGGAGAGUGGUGUCUCCUAGAUUGGCUAGGUGUCACUUGGGAGCCUCCGACAAGAUUGUGGAGUUGAACCAAGGAGUUUUUAAGGGCAAGAAGAUCGCCUACUUCGUGAAGAUCUACCGCUAGUAAGGCAAGUCCUUCGUGGGCGACGGCCAUGGUGGGAUAGACAAGGUUGCUUCUUCGUGGACCCUUCGUGGGUGGAGCCCUCAGUGGACUCGCGCAGCCGUUACCCUUCGUGGGUUGAAGUCUCCAUCAACGUGGAUGUACGAUAGCACCACCUAUCGGAACCAUGACAAAAACAUCCGUGUCUCCAAUUGCGUUUGAAUUCUCCAAUCAUACCCCUUUACAUUCUUGCAAGUUGCAUGCUUUACUUUCUGCUGCUCAUAUACUCUUUGCAUGCUUGCUUGUUAUGUAUUGUGAUUGUUAAACUUGUGCCAAAAACUCCACUCCAAAUUAAAGAAUUUAAAAACUGCAACUUUUUGUACUUAGUGUCUAAUAACCCCCCUCUAGACACCUCUUCUCGAUCCUUUCAAUUGGUAUCAGAGCUUUGGUCUCCAUUGCUUUGGUUUAAUCACCAUUGGAGGAAGAUGGAUGAGUCUACUUUGGGGAGUCUUAGACAUAGAGUGCCUAUACUUGAUGGAGAGUACUUUCAUGAGUGGAAAAAUGAGAUGCUUGUGAUUUUCAAUCAAUAUCAUUUAAACAAGUACAUUGCUAGCCCUUGUGCACCUCAUGUUGAUACUAUGCAUCCUACUCUUGAUGAGUCAAUUGACAUGAUUCACAAUCUUAGAACUGUUGAACUUAUCACUAGAGGCUUGCCUAGAAACUUGAUUGGAUGUUUGCCUACUCUUAUGUGUGCCUACACUAUAUGGAAAUUUCUUGAGGAAUGUUUUCCAGAUUACUCCUUGAAAAAUCUAGAUGAAAUUCUCUAGAAGUCUAUUGCCUUGAGUAAGAUGGAUUCCAGUGAUCCUAUGUUUAGUGAUUGUCUAUUUGAGCUUACAAACCUUAUGCGUACCAAAGGAGAUGUUGGAAUUAUUAGUGAUAUUAUUUCCGAAGCUAUAAAAAUUCAUAAACAAGAUCAUUGUCAAACUCACUCUAACGAAUCACCCUCUCUAGGAUUUGAUCCACCACAUGAUGAUGUUGAACAUGGAUACUAUGAUGAGGAUGAUGAUAGUGACUUUGAUCUUGAUGAUUGUAACGCCCUGAAUCCGAUGCGCUAGGUGUCUUCUAGUUAUUCGCCUUCGUUGCCAUGUCAUUUGCUUGCGUGUUGCAUUUUUCCAUGUCAUCAUAUGCAUUUCAUCUGCAUGUUUUUCAAAACUUGCAUCCAUUCGGGUUCCCCCGGUUCUCUCCAUUGUCCGUUCUGAGCACAAACACACUUGCACGCGCCCGUCGCACCUCUCAGACCUUGUUUCGUGAGCGGGAUAAAAAUGUUCUCGGAAUGGGAUAAAACUUGGCGUGCGGUGUUGUUUUAGAGUAGGUAGACCGCCUGUCAAUUUUUGUCGCAUUCAGAGUCCGUUUGAUGCCCCAACGGUUAACCGCGUAGCCCGAAACCCCUCUCUCUUUGCAGCCCAGCCCCUCUUCACCAUAGCCCUUGAGCCCAUCCAAACCCCCUCCAUGCUCUCGGUCAUUCGAUCAUGAUCGUGUGGGCGACAAUCGCUCUCCAUUUGGACUCUCCAAACUCCUCCUACCUAUAAAUAUGCCCUCCCCGUCCAAAUUCGCGGAUGAACCCUAGCUCCCCUCACCUCCCGCCGCCGGACGCGUCCGUCCGCGCCGGACAUGUCCGCCGGCCACGUCGCCGCCAACCACCGCUCCCGGCCACGCCAGCCGUGCCACCUCGCCUCCCCCGCAGCCUCCCAGCCGUGCCGAGCCCGUCGGGGCGCGGAUCUGGCCCGCCCCGACCGAACCGGGCCCGAAGGAGCUCGACGCCGUGCCUCGCAACCCUAGCGCGUCAUGGAGCCGCCGCCGCCAGCCUCCUCCUCCUCCGCCGCGCUCGUCCGCCACCACCGGCUGGCUCCUCCGCCGCCGACCCUCAGGCCAGUCACCGCCGCCCCCUUCUCCCUUCUCCUCUCUUCCUCUCUCUCCUUGCCCCACCUCACUCUCUC
rnacentral:lncRNA from 1 species